GCGGGGAUGGCGAAAUUAGGUAAACGCGCUAGGCUUAGAACCUAGUUCUUAAUGAAUUACGAGUUCGAAUCUCGUUCUCCGCA
rnacentral:tRNA from 1 species